GUGGGGAAUUUUGCGCAAUGGGCGAAAGCCUGACGCAGCAACGCCGCGUGGGUGAUGAAAUCCUUCGGGAUGUAAAACCCUGUCAGCUGGGACGAAACGUCCCGCAAGGGAAAUUGACUGUACCAGCAGAGGAAGCCCCGGCUAACUCCGUGCCAGCAGCCGCGGUAAUACGGAGGGGGCAAGCGUUGUUCGGAAUUACUGGGCGUAAAGGGCGUGUAGGCGGUUGGGUAAGUCAGUUGUGAAAGCCCCGAGCUUAACUUGGGAAUUGCAACUGAAACUGCCCGGCUAGAGUUCAGGAGAGGAGAGCGGAACUCCCAGUGUAGCGGUGAAAUGCGUAGAUAUUGGGAGGAACACCGGUGGCGAAGGCGGCUCUCUGGACUGAAACUGACGCUGAGGCGCGAAAGCUAGGGGAGCAAACGGGAUUAGAUACCCGAGUAGUCC
rnacentral:rRNA from 1 species